AAAAUGUUUUUUUUAAACUUUUACAUAAGUCUGGAAAUCUUAGUUAGUGUCAUAGAUUAAAUACCAGUAAUGGGGUCUUACCUAUCAGCUAGAGUUUUUGAUAUGGCUUCUAGAUCAUGAUGCGUUAUUUAACUUGGGAUUGUGCCAACUGAGCCAAGUGUCUUGAGUUCAAACUCCUUGGCUGUAAUGUUAAAUCAAAAUAAGUCUUAAGGGAGGAAAGAUAUAAGUUAUAUAGGGUUUACAAAUGAAAUCAAGAGAGGAAAAUAUUCUACCGCUUGCAAAGCUAAUCACUUACUACACUAAAAAGAAUAGUCAAUCAUGCAAAUGAAGAAAGACUUUAAUUUUCUACAAGUUUCAACAGUGGCUUUCUGCUGUUGUUUCUAAAUGCUAUUGAAUUCCAAUUUAGGUCCCGAAAAUUAUGUUGAAGCUUUCUCUUUAAUGCUAUCUCUGGGUUUUCGAUGUCCAUAACAUAAUAAGUUAUUUAUUUAGACUCAAUUAUUUUGAUACAGUUAUGUAUGUGGAGCAUUGAUAAAUGGGAGAAGCUGAAAUCCAGGUUCAUACAAGCACCAGCUGGCCAUCAAUCCCCUCUGGUCGGAGAAACUAAAGUCCAGUUUCAUAAUGAUCAAACACAUCUAUUGGUGUUUCAUGAUAGCCAAAUUUUCAUUUAUGACAGCAAGCUCGAAUGUUCAUAUUCUGUAAGUUUUGCUUCCAUCUCAUCUUGUUUUAGUGUGUCAUCAGUUCGCUCUCGCUUUAAGUAAACUUACCAUAUGAUAGUUUAUAUGACCAUGAUCUCAAUUCAAUUAAAUUAUGUGGAAACAUAGCAUCAUGAUAAUAUAGGUUGAUGAGACCCAAAUCACAUAUUCUUGUUUGCUUAAAAGAGUAAGUUAUGUAGCUUAUUAUCAUCACUGUACUAAUUCCACCUUGACCAGCUGGAGUAAAGGUGUCUAGAAUGUAUUUUUAUUGAUGGUAUGCUAGAAGCCUUGUGCAUGGCUUAUCACACUUUGUUGGAAGUUUUAUUGCUGGUGCUGCAACAUGUCUGGCAAAUGUUACUAUGUGCUUAUGCUAUGUAUUUAUAACUUGUAAUGGUCUCCAAUAGAUACACUCCCCGCUUCUAUUUCAAGAGCAAUAUAUUCAUGUGAUGGUUUACUGGUGCUGUUGGAGUUUUUGAUGCUGACAAUUUAAGGCUCUGAUGUAGAAUAGCACCUUCUGCCUAAAUACCUUCCCUCACUGGCAGCAACACUACCACCUAUCCUUUUGGUAUAGUGGCUCAUCCAUCUGAGCCUAAUCAAAUCGCUCUUGGCAUGAGUGAUAGAGCAGUGCAUGUAGUCAUGCCUUCUGAUACCAAGUUGAAGUGGGGUGGUACACCCUCCCAAGACAAUGGACCCUUCCCUCUUAUUCGUCAAAUCCUUCUUUGGCUGGUCAACCAUCAGAGCUCCCUCCCAGGUAACUGCUGUGGCAUAUAAGAUGAGAAAGGUUAGACAAGGAGUAUAGACACAUUGAGCUGCACUUUUUUUUUGGUUCUUAGUAUUGAAAAUCAUCCUUUUCACUCUUUAACUUCCUCCAAAUCACGCCAUGCUAUAUCUGUUGUAAAUUAGUUUUCUCGUUGGUUGUUUUGCUUCAUGAAGUUCUAGAGAGAAACAUUUUCUCUGAAACUGAGAACACACCCCGGCUUCAACAAGCUGAUUUGAUGACACCUUAGAGGCUUUUCCUUGUAUGAUGUUGUAUACAUUAAAGGUUUUUGGAAUGAAAAUGGUCAUUGUUGCCAUACCUGUCUGUUUUUGUAUUGAAACCACCCUUUUCUUUUGUUUAUUUUGGGCUGCUCCGUUGUAAAGAUGCUUAAUUUAUACUUCCACUUCUCUUCCCAA